ACUUUUGAGAGACUGGAUUCGUCUCCAGGUGUGAGGGAGGUCUCGUGGGACAGCGUUGGUUACUAGGAGAGCAAACUGUUCCACAAGGAACCUGGACUCUGGCUCCCUUCGUCUCCAGCCCGUGCUCCUGUCUCACGUGUGUCUGUUUCCCUUCUUGUUUUUCCAUGACUCAUGAAGCAUCAUGAGGUCCUCACCAGAAGCUGAGCGAACGCCAGAGCCGUGCUCUGAAAUUUCAGAACCGUGGGACAAAGUCAACCUCUUUCCAUUACAAAUCCCCAGUGGCAGACGUGCAGCAGAAACCGGAUCGAGGCAGUCCGCACCUUAGCCUUGGGGAAGUCGUGAUUCAGGUCUCCUCAGACACUUUUAAGAGGAAUCCACCCACGGGGCCAGGAAAAGGAAGAGACGCGAUCAGCCACUUUGCAUGGCUCUAAGCGAAUCCUGAACAUGGAUGACCUUUGCUCUGCUAACCUGCAAAAUCAAUGACCGGCUGGAAACCUGGAUCCUGGUGAAGUAAUUGGAAAACAAAGAGACAUUCUCAGAAAAAGACGAACCCAAGUCCACUCAGAACUGGUUCACUUAAUGCUUCUGGUUAUUUGGACACUUCCUCAAGAUGCCUAUCCCAGCCCCGCUGACAAUUGUGUUAGUGUAAGGGCAGCAGUGGCAACGCGUGUGAGGAAGACACAGUGUACGGAGCGGCAGUCAGGCAGCACUAAAGGUGUGUGCCGAGUGCCACUCAAUCCCAGCACCACGGAGGCAGAGACAAGAGGACCCCAGCCUACCUGAGUUCCAGGCCGACAGAGACCUCCCACCAAUGAACACAGAUAUAUUGACAACUUACAUAGAAAGAGUGAAGAGGAUCAUUGCCCUGGGCUCUCCAUCCCCUACCCUGCCACUAAAGGUCUCCUAUGACUGAGAGAGCACUGGGGGAUGCACACAGCGGUGCACUUUAAAAUGAUAAUAGUGUCAAGGAAAGCUUGAAAAUGUCCUUCCUCAAACAAAACCACAGACAGAUGAAGUCUUCCUUGGGUACCACCCAGCUCCCUAACCACUGAAGAAGGUGAAGCACCACACAGUUUAUCACUCAACAGGCUUUUGAGGUGACACGGGAGCAUCAGGACACCCGAGCUCUCCUCAGGUACCUGGCUGCUCCAAAUGGCAGGUGCUCCUGUCUGCUUCAUCAGGAUGGGAACUCAUGGCCUGGCAACCGUGACUGAUUACCAAUCAUCUCACACAGCCUGCCUGCCUACUGAGCAUCACACACAAACACACACACACACACAAAAUUACAAACACACACACAUAAACAAAACCACACACGCACAUACAUAGAUGCACACAGACACAGAUAUAAACACACAGGAGCACACAAACAUAAACAAAUACGUACAAAGACAGAUUAUACAAAUGUGUACACAUAAUACACACAGGAACAUAAAUAUGCUCAAACAGACACACGAACAGCCAUAUAUGCAAGCUCACACAGACAAAAAGACAAACAUUGACAACACAACACACAGGAACAUAAAUACAAAACACAAAGACAUAACAUGCACAAACACACAUAAACAUACAAACACACACAAACACAUACCGUGGUUAUAGUUAUGUGUCUCACCACUGGCCCAGAAACACUAGCACCAAGUGACUGUGGACGGAAAUCUCUGAAGUCACUUUCUCCCUUAUUUGGCUUUAUCAGCAGAUCUCUCCUAUCUCACUAUACUGUACUGACAUAAAGAAAAGAGGUGUUUUGCUGUAGAGAUGCAAAAGUGACCAUCACGACAGUCACUUCUGGUCACAAUGCAUCGACUUAUCAUAGUCUACAGUUGGGAUUGUGGCUUCUGUAGCCCCCACCUCCAGGAAUCCUCAAGACUCUGAAUGCAAGAGAUGGCACCUGCCUCCAUCAUUUCUAACAAUAGCAGCAAGCAAAGUUGAUAAAUUCAGUCAGACCCAGGGAUACAGAAAGAGCCCAGGACUUCUGCCCUGACCACCUGUUGAUUUGGCUCUCUUUCGGGCUGGGUUCGUUCCAGUAGAUCUUUCCCUCUUCAAUCAUUCACACUCAAUAUUCAUUGCCUUUACUCAGGUCAUGACACCCUGUUCAAGGGAUGAGAUAGACACAUUCGUCUAGUGUCUGUCCCUAGAUCCGAAAGUGAGGGCUAACUCUACUCUCAAACACUGAGCCAUGUUGAGACAGUCUAAAAAAGGAGAUAUUUCUACCAGAGUUACUAAAUUACUAAAAGAAAUUACUAGUAAAUUUAUUAAAGAAUUACAAUUUAAAUUAAAGUAAAAUUAAUUAAAAUUAAAUUAAAAGAAUUACUAACAGAAAAUUACUACCAAAAUGGACUUUAAAAAGACAAAAUAAAAAUUUGAUAAUGUUAGAAUAAGUAAGUUAAGGGAUUUGCUGUUACAAAGAAAGAAAAUAACAACAGUAUAGUACGUUCAGGAAGACAUAGACCUAACUCAGUGUUCUCAGAGGUGUGGUCCCCUCAGGUCUGAAGCAAUCAGCAGAGCUCUCCUAUCUCACUAUACUGUACUGAUGAAAGAAAAGAGAUUCUUGAUACCUUGAUGUCUGCAUUUCUCAGUGAACCUCAUACUAUUAAGUUUAUAUAGAGAGAGCCUGGCUUAAAUCCAGUACUGGG